rnacentral:rRNA from 1 species
UACAGAGGGUGCGAGCGUUGUCCGGAAUCACUGGGCGUAAAGGGCGCGUAGGCGGCCUGAUAAGUAGGGGGUGAAAUCUUGCGGCUCAACCGCAAGGCUGCCUUCUAAACUGUCAGGCUGGAGCACGGUAGAGGCAGAUGGAAUUCCCGGUGUAGCGGUGGAAUGCGUAGAGAUCGGGAAGAACACCAAUGGCGAAGGCAGUCGGCUGGGCCGUUGCUGACACUGAGGCGCGACAGCGUGGGGAGCAAACAGG